rnacentral:rRNA from 1 species
UACGUAGGGGGCAAGCGUUGUCCGGAUUUAUUGGGCGUAAAGAGCGUGUAGGCGGCCAGGUAGGUCUGCUGUGAAAACUCGAGGCUUAACCUCGAGCUGUCGGCGGAAACCAUCUGGCUAGAGUCCGGAAGAGGAGAAUGGAAUUCCCGGUGUAGCGGUGAAAUGCGCAGAUAUCGGGAAGAACACCCGUGGCGAAGGCGGUUCUCUGGGCAGUUCCUGACGCUGAGGCACGAAGGCCAGGGGAGCAAACGGG